rnacentral:rRNA from 1 species
UACGAAGGGGGCUAGCGUUGCUCGGAAUUACUGGGCGUAAAGCGCACGUAGGCGGUCUUUUAAGUCGGGGGUGAAAUCCUGGAGCUCAACUCCAGAACUGCCUUCGAUACUGGAAGACUUGAGUCCGGGAGAGGUGAGUGGAACUGCGAGUGUAGAGGUGAAAUUCGUAGAUAUUCGCAAGAACACCAGUGGCGAAGGCGGCUCACUGGCCCGGUACUGACGCUGAGGUGCGAAAG